AUGCUUUGCACAUGUGCUGAUAUUAGAACAGUACAUCUGAAUCAUCUGACUUUGUAAUCCAAAUGUGCUGAUGUAACUUCCUGUCAACACACAAGACUAUGAAUGAAUCACGGCCUUGUUCAGUUGAAAGUCUGCAGACAGCAUCUGUAUACAGUGAUGAUUCCAACCAUCUGGGUUGAAGGAAGAAUAUUUCUGAUUGUUCUGAAUAGGAAAGCUGGACAUUGCUUCAAGGUCCCGACACUCAUCUGAUUCAGAAAAGAGAAGCCAAACACUACUUGUGGCUGGCAGCGCUUUGAAUCGGCUGGACGGCUGGUAACAAAUUAGGGGAUGUCAGUGUGGGAAAUGGGCUGGCCAGGAUGAUUAGUGGUGUUUUACAAUCUGGUAAGAUUUGACCUUUCAGGGCUGCCAUCAUUCUAAAUUCAAGUGAACUUGAGAAGGGGACCAGAUGUAAAAUGGAGGUUGUUAAAUAUCCGUCAGUCUGUGUGCACCUCAAAUGUCAAUUCAUUUCACACUCUUUUGUUUUCUUUACUCCCUGAGUUGAAACUCAUCCUCAUUUGAAGACAACAUGAGGCAUCCAGAGAAAUGACACUGUCAAAACCCCCAAGUAACAGCCACCCUUGGAAUGAAAACAGAUGAUGUGUCAACAGAUGGAACUCAGCAAAGACCUGAUGGAAUUUAUGUCUCCAUAAAUCUGGCUCAAAAGAUACACUUUGAUGAAGACUAUUAAAAAAAGUAUAAUAAUUAAAAAAAUGUAUUAAUAAUAAUAAAAUGCAAGAUGCUUUAAGAAUAAUGUCUACUAAAGCACUAUUGACCCCCUCUUCGGUUUUUAAAACAGUUGUCUGAGGUAUAACUAGAAAAUGGCUAAAAUCAAUGCCCAAAAACUGGAGACCUGCAGGCAGCGGGGCUGACACUGUGGACUGUGGGCUUCCUGCCAGUGUGAUGCGAUAUAGUAAGAGUGUUCUCUCACUCACUGCCAGCUGCAAGAGCAGAGGCAACAAAGAUUCCCCUGUGACCCACACAGCAGCAGAUUCAGAAAAAGAUGGACGCCGCAGGCCCUAACCCCUGCCAGUGUUAAUUGCCUUAAAUUAUUCAAUUGCAUCUGAAGCCAAAGAGGGUGCAGCACGCUGGGCGUGCAGCUGCAGGGGAGAGCUUACGCGGUCCAUCCCCUUGUUCACACUCUCUGCCUGCUCUCUGCUCUCCAUGGCACCAAGAUAAGAGCAGAGGAGAAAAACUGAAUGGCCCAUCCUUCACCUUCAUCCAGGCUUGGUAAAUCAAGGCAAUUGAAAGCCAAAAUUUCACCUGGUGACUCUCCACUGCCAUGGCAACAACACUUUCCACAGUAUCUCCUCUUCUGGCCUGAUUAAAAUAAACACUUCUGGGAUGACAGAUUUGCAAAUCACUUUUUACACACAGUCUUAGCACAAAGCCAAACUUUAAAUUUAUAUUGUGAAUUCAAAGCCAUUACAAACAACAUGGAAUUUAGAGGAAGAGACACAAACUUUUGCGCAUAGUUAUGUAUGUAUGAGUGCAUUCAUAAUUCAUGGAUAUUUCCUCCAUGCAGGUUAUAUGAAUGCAUCCAGAGUAAAAGGGAAACAUUUUAUCCAUGUCCCACGUAAGACGGGAAUAUGUGGCAAUUCAGACAUGAUAAAUUUAAGAGGAUGGGACUGUGUUAGUCAAUUUUCUUGCAAGACUCUGUUCUCUAAAUGUUAGGUUGAAUCCUCUGAUGGCAUUGGAGAAGCUCGUACAGUAACUGCAUAACAAGGCUCAGAGCAACAGUCAGCUUUAAUGGGGCGUUUAUGUAAAUAUAGGACUAAUAAGGCAAAUGAAAAAUAAAUAAUUGUUGUUUAAGAAAUGUUUUUCAUAAAAAUACCAAGCAGUUGAAACGCCCAUGUGGAAUCAUGAAUGAAGGUCACUUUGGUCCACAUGACGUCACCUUUGUGUCUCUGCUCAGUAUUGUCAGUGUCUCAGAGCAGCCUGAGGCCUGUGGUAGAAGGAUGUGAUGAUGGACACUGGAUUUCUCAGCUCCACCCAGAACAUUUUCUCAGUUUUUGCAGGCAACAGAGUGUAAAGGGCCCAAGAGUGGUGCCCUCUCAUCUGAGACUGCAGGCUCACUGUUUGGAUGCAGAGCUCCCGGUCCCUGGUCCCCUUCGGCAAGCAUUACAAGAAGCUUUUUGCGACCUGUCACCAAAUAUCUCACAGUUUCCUUGUUUCUUUUUUUUUUUUUUUUUUGUUAAAAGAAACAUCCACUGGGAGUUCUUUCACAGCUUUAUUC